rnacentral:rRNA from 1 species
UGGGGAAUAUUGCACAAUGGGGGAAACCCUGAUGCAGCGACGCCGCGUGAACGAAGAAGGUAUUCGUAUCGUAAAGUUCUGUCCUAUGGGAAGAUAAUGACAGUACCAUAGAAGAAAGCUCCGGCUAAAUACGUGCCAGCAGCCGCGGUAAUACGUAUGGAGCGAGCGUUGUCCGGAAUUAUUCGGCGUAAAGGGUACGCAGGCGGUUUAAUAAGUCGAAUGUUAAAGAUCGGGGCUCAACCCCGCAAAGCAUUGGAAACUGAUAAACUUGAGUAGUGGAGAGGAAAGUGGAAUUCCUAGUGUAGUGGUGAAAUACGUAGAUAUUAGGAGGAAUACCAGUAGCGAAGGCGACUUUCUGGACACAAACUGACGCUGAGGUACGAAAGCGUGGGGAGCAAACAGG